AGUGCAGUUACCAUCAGUUCAGCAUCAACACAAACCAUGUUCCCUGUAUCUCUGCUGUUGGUGCUGGCAGCUGUAUCCUGUGUGUUCUGUCAGACUGAACUCACACAGCCAGGGUCUAUGACCCUGCAGCCUGGACAGCCUCUGACCCUCUCCUGUCAGGUCUCUGGGUAUUCAGUAACCAGCACCAGCUCCUGUACAGGUUGGGUACGACAGCCUGCAGGAAAAGCACUGGAGUGGGUUGGAGAAAUGUGUGGCAGUGGUGGCAUAUACUACAGUGAUAAGCUGAAAAACAAGUUCAGUAUCUCCAGAGACACUUCCAGCAGCACAGUGACUUUAACAGGACAGAGUCUGCAGACUGAAGACACAGCUGUGUAUUAUUGUGCUCGACGACCACGGUGA